rnacentral:misc_RNA from 1 species
GAAAUGCGAUAAGUAAUGUGAAUUGCAGAAUUCAGUGAAUCAUCGAAUCUUUGAACGCACAUUGCGCUCCUUGGUAUUCCUUGGAGCAUGCCUGUUUGAGUAUCAUGAAAUCUUCAAAGUAAAUCUUUUGUUAACUCAAUUGGUUUCUACUUUGGUAUUGGAGGUCUUUGCAGCUUCACACCUGCUCCUCUUUGUUCAUUAGCUGGAUCUCAGUGUUAUGUUUGGUUCCACUCGGCGUGAUAAGUUAUCUAUCGCUGAGGACACUGUAAAAGGUGGCCAAGGUAAAUGCAGAUGAACCGCUUCUAAUAGUCCAUUGACUUGGACAAUACUUUUAUGAUCUGAUCUCAAAUCAGGUAGGACUACCCGCUGAACUUAAGC